AAUGCGGGACUCUAAGAGGCCCCGUAAUUGGAAUGAGUACACCUUAAAUCGUUUAACGAGUAUCAAUUGGAGGGCUAGUCUGGUGCCAGCAGCCGCGGUAAUUCCAGCUCCAAUAGCGUAUAUUAAAGUUGCUGCAGUUAAAAAGCUCGUAGUUGGAUCUGGGGCUUGAGGUCGCUGUCUAUCGUUUCGGCGAUGACGGUGAUGCUCAGCUCUGCUUGCCGGUGACUGUUGCGGUGUUCUUCACUGAGCGCUGUAGCAGCACGGCACGUUUACUUUGAAAUAAUUAGAGUGCUCAAAGCGUGCUUGUCGCUUGAAUAAUGUUGCAUGGAAUAAUGGAAUAGGACCUCGGUUCUAUUUUGUUGGUUUUCGGAGCUUGAGGUAAUGAUUAAGAGGGACGAACGGGGGCAUUCGUAUUGCGGUGUUAGAGGUGAAAUUCUUGGAUCGCCGCAAGACGGACUACUGCGAAAGCAUUUGCCAAGAACGCUUUCAUUAAUUAAGAACGAAAGUCAGAGGUUCGAAGACGAUCAGACACCGUCCUAGUUCUGACCAUAAACGAUGCCGACCAGCGAUCCGUAGUGGUUGCUUUAUGGACCCUACGGGCAGCCUCCGGGAAACCAAAGUAUUUGGGUUCCGGGGGAAGUAUGGUUGCAAAGCUGAAACUUAAAGGAAUUGACGGAAGGGCACACCAGGAGUGGAGCCUGCGGCUUAAUUUGACCCAACACGGGAAAACUCACCCGGUCCGGACACCGUAAGGAUUGACAGACUGAUAGCUCUUUCUUGAUUCGGUGGAUGGUGGUGCAUGGCCGUUCUUAGUUGGUGGAGUGAUUUGUCUGGUUAAUUCCGAUAACGAACGAGACUCUAGCCUGCUAAGUAGUGUUGCUAUUGUUAUAUGGUUGACACUUCUUAGAGGGACAAGUGGCAUUUAGCCACGCGAAAUUGAGCAAUAACAGGUCUGUGAUGCCCUUAGAUGUCCGGGGCCGCACGCGCGCUACACUGGAGAAGUCAGCGUGUGUUAUCCAAGUCCGAAAGGACUGGGUAAUCCGUUGAACCUUCUUCGUGCUUGGGACUGUGGCUUGGAACUAUUCCACAUGAACGAGGAAUUCCUAGUAAUUGCAAGUCAUAAGCUUGCGUUGAUUACGUCCCUGCCCUUUGAACACACCGCCCGUCGCUACUACCGAUUGAAUGGUUUAGCAAGGUCCUCGGAUCGUGGCCGUAGGGGCACGCAAGUGUUUCUGCGGUUUGCGAGAAGACGACCAAACUUGAUCAUUUAGA
rnacentral:rRNA from 1 species